ACACGGCCCAGACUCCUACGGGAGGCAGCAGUGGGGAAUUUUGGACAAUGGGGGCAACCCUGAUCCAGCCAUGCCGCGUGAGUGAAGAAGGCCUUCGGGUUGUAAAGCUCUUUCAGCCGGAAAGAAAUCGUGCAGAAUAAUACUCUGUAUGGAUGACGGUACCGGAAGAAGAAGCACCGGCUAACUACGUGCCAGCAGCCGCGGUAAUACGUAGGGUGCGAGCGUUAAUCGGAAUUACUGGGCGUAAAGCGUGCGCAGGCGGUUUUGUAAGACAGACGUGAAAUCCCCGGGCUUAACCUGGGAACUGCGUUUGUGACUGCAAGGCUAGAGUAUGGCAGAGGGGGGUAGAAUUCCACGUGUAGCAGUGAAAUGCGUAGAGAUGUGGAGGAAUACCGAUGGCGAAGGCAGCCCCCUGGGUCAAUACUGACGCUCAUGCACGAAAGCGUGGGGAGCAAACAGGAUUAGAUACCCUGGUAGUCCACGCCCUAAACGAUGUCAACU
rnacentral:rRNA from 1 species